rnacentral:rRNA from 1 species
GAUGAGCGCUAGCUACAGGCUUAACACAUGCAAGUCGAGGGGCAGCAUGACGAUAGCUUGCUAUUGUUGAUGGCGACCGGCGCACGGGUGAGUAACGCGUAUCCAACCUGCCCUUGUCCACCGGAUAACCCGUCGAAAGGCGGACUAACACGGUAUGCAGUCCACAGCAGACAUCUAACGUGGACGAAAUGUGAAGGAGAAGGAUGGGGAUGCGUCUGAUUAGCUUGUUGGCGGGGUAACGGCCCACCAAGGCGACGAUCAGUAGGGGUUCUGAGAGGAAGGUCCCCCACAUUGGAACUGAGACACGGUCCAAACUCCUACGGGAGGCAGCAGUGAGGAAUAUUGGUCAAUGGGCGAGAGCCUGAACCAGCCAAGUAGCGCGCAGGAAGACGGCCCUAUGGGUUGUAAACUGCUUUUAUACGGGGAUAAAGUGAGUCACGUGUGGCUUAUUGCAGGUACCGUAUGAAUAAGGACCGGCUAAUUCCGUGCCAGCCGCCGCCGUAA